UACGUAGGUGGCAAGCGUUUGUCCGGAUUUACUGGGCGUAAAGGGCGUGCAGGCGGUUUGUUAAGUCUAGGGUGAAAGCUCCCGGCUCAACUGGGAGAGGUCCUUGGAUACUGGCAGACUUGAGGAGGGUAGAGGAGAGUGGAAUUCCCGGUGUAGUGGUGAUAUGCGUAGAUAUCGGGAGGAACACCAGUGGCGAAGGCGGCUCUCUGGGCCCUACCUGACGCUGAGACGCGAAAGCGUGGGGAGCGAACCGG
rnacentral:rRNA from 1 species